rnacentral:rRNA from 1 species
UAGCGGAGGAAAAGAAACCAACAGGGAUUGCCUUAGUAACGGCGAGUGAAGCGGCAAAAGCUCAAAUUUGAAAUCUGGCACCUUCGGUGUCCGAGUUGUAAUUUGAAGAAGGUAACUUUGGAGUUGGCUCUUGUCUAUGUUCCUUGGAACAGGACGUCACAGAGGGUGAGAAUCCCGUGCGAUGAGAUGCCCAAUUCUAUGUAAAGUGCUUUCGAAGAGUCGAGUUGUUUGGGAAUGCAGCUCUAAGUGGGUGGUAAAUUCCAUCUAAAGCUAAAUAUUGGCGAGAGACCGAUAGCGAACAAGUACAGUGAUGGAAAGAUGAAAAGAACUUUGAAAAGAGAGUGAAAAAGUACGUGAAAUUGUUGAAAGGGAAGGGCUUGAGAUCAGACUUGGUAUUUUGCGAUCCUUUCCUUCUUGGUUGGGUUCCUCGCAGCUUACUGGGCCAGCAUCGGUUUGGAUGGUAGGAUAAUGACUAAGGAAUGUGGCUCUACUUCGGUGGAGUGUUAUAGCCUUGGUUGAUACUGCCUGUCUAGACCGAGGACUGCGUCUUUUGACUAGGAUGUUGGCAUAAUGAUCUUAAGCCACCCGUCUUG